CUAGGACUGCUUCUUGACUC
rnacentral:piRNA from 1 species